AUGUUUAUGCAAUUGCCCUGCUAACCAUUGGGGGACAUUCUUGUUGUUAGGAUGCUGUCUCUGAUCUUAUCAAGGCUCAUGAAGUUUCUCCUGAUGAUGAAACAAUUGCAGAGGUCUUGAGGUGUGAUUUCUUGUGAAUGAUCUUCUUGGACUUUGUUAUAGCAGAUUAACAUCAAUUGUUCCUUCUUUUUCUUUUUUUAACUAGCAUAUAUUGUUUUAACAGGGAUGUUGAGGAAAGAUUACUGAAGGAGGGAGGUGCACGUGCACCAAGAGUUGGUGAACACAGGAAAGGAAAGGGAAAAAGUCAGCCUUCUUUUUACAUGGGCGAAUUAUUGGUCAAACUGCUUUAAAUGGGAAGUACCAAUGGAUUCAAGCUGAUGGGCCAAGUGGGGAAUGGAAUUCUUUCAGAUCUACUGAAAAUAAACACACAUUUCAGGUAUUUCUUCUUUCUUUUUCAGUUUUUAGAGUUGAAAUCACAUACAUAUGUUGAAUUUUUUGAAGUUAGAAUUCUUGUUAUGUUUGCUUAUUUUGUGAAUUUUCUUUCACUCUACAGGAUGAUUCUAAGGUUUGCUAUCAGUUUUCCUCUGGAAUAAAGACCAUUGUGGUAGUACCGGUUGAACCACGAGGACUAGUACAGUUUGGAUCUACUGAGAAGAUAUCUGAAAGAUUGGACUUUGU